AAGAGUAAAAAGAAAUUCUAGUGCCAAGUGACACCCCAGAACAUUCAAAUCAUAAUCUUUAAAAGUUGGAGAAGGCCAGGGAUUUAGCUCAGUGGCACCAUGCCUGCACAAGGUCCUGAGUUCGAUCCCUGGUACUAGAAAAAAAAGCAAAGAGAAGAAAAAAAAAAGUAGGACAAGAAAAUGAAUAAAUAAAGGAUGAGGGCACCAGUAUACCAUUGAAAAAACAACUUUAUUGAGGUUUACUUUAUAUCUACUAAAAUUUGUCCAUUUAAAGUAUUCACUUUGAGAUAUUUGGACCCAUGUAAACAGUACUACAACCAACAUCUGAAACAUUUUCAUUACUGUAAUGGAAUGAAAGGCCAUUAGACUGUAUCCAUUUGCAGACUCACCCUACCUGGCAACCAUCAACUCACUUUUUAAAAAAAAUUAGCUCUGUUAUUGUUAGCAUUUCUUCUCAACAGUACUACAUGGAAUGCACUCUUUUGAGUACAUUUUGAGUAUUCAUUUCACUCAGCCUAAUGUUUUUGAGAUCUAGUCACAUGAUUUCAUGUCUCAGGAUUUAAUUUUUUAAAUUGCUGGGCAGUAUUUCAUUUAUGGAUGUACCACAGUUUGUUUAUCCAUCAAUCAGUAUUUUUAAAGUCUCUUCAGGUGACUCCAAUGUGUGAGCAAGGUUGAGAAGCCUUGCUGUAAGCCUGGGACUGUAAACUCACAAGACUAUGAUCCUAUAAAUUUAUCCUCUAAACAUAAUCCUGAUGACUUCAAUUACUGAGUGGGAAAGGCAGUAAGAUGAGUGCUAGGAUCCAGUCUAUGCCUUUGAAAAGAGAAUGCUCCUGGUCAUGUGCCUGCCUGUGGGUUGGGCAAUGAGAAGGAAAUGUAGCCAAUGAGAAAAUGUGGAGCAGACUGUAUAGCCAAUGAGAGGGCAGCACAGACAAUGAGAACACUACAACAUGCCUACCCCCCUGCUGUUCCAUUUCUCUCCAUCACCCUUCCCCUUUUCUCCAUCACCCUUCCCCUUUUCUCCAUCUGUCCCAAGAAUGCCCAAAGGUUUCUACCCUUAUCCUCCAGUUCUUCUUUUGGAGAACUGAUCAGCACCCUGCCAGCUGAGGCCAACAGAGUGGGUUCUGGUGGUCAAGGAUGUGAUACCUGGGCCCCAUCACCCUGUCAGCACCUUGUAGAUUUUCCAGGAGCACCUGCAUUGUGUUUAAAAUUGUAUGUUUGCAGUUGGCAUUGGACAAGGCUGAUUCCUCCCCUUAUAGAAGGCCUAUCAGCUGGAGGUGAUGAGGAGGCCUAGAUGCCGUCUCUUAGGGAAGGCCUUCUUCAUCCUCCAGGAAGCAGCCCUGCAACCGACACUGGAACCAGAGCUCUAAACCUCAAGUGCAUCUAAUCCAGCCCACCAAGUGGGUAACCUGACGCACAGGAGGAGUACACAUCCCAGAUCUCCUGAGGACACACCCAAAACCACACAAACUCCUUCAACCCAGUCCAUAAUGCACCUCACUAUGGGCACCCACAUCCCCUCCUGAGUGUGGGCUUCUUCACUCUGCCCAAUAAACUUUUCUGUGCCUCUCCCUGUCAUAUCCUGUUGUUCUUUUCUGUAAGUCAAGAACUUUCAACCUACCCCACAGGUGAGGCGAACUGAGGUUCCCAUCUCUCUUGGAUGGUGGCCUUCCUUAGGCCCUGUCCAGUGACAGGAACAGGCCUUCCUGAUUCCUGUAUUUACUGCUAGGCAGUGUGAGCCAUUGGACAAGCUGUUGAUCUUCCUAAACGUAGUUUCCCUGUCUGUAAAAUGGGGGAUAACAGUAGAUUCUACCCCCUAACACUGUUUGGAGGGUUAAUGUUAUUAG
rnacentral:lncRNA from 1 species